GAGUGGGGCUGCCUCGGGUGCACGGCACUCGACCACGACAAAGUUCUGUGUUGUCUGGGCUCUGUACAACCCAGAGCACAGCAGUCUGAAAGUCCAUGUUCCUAACUAACCUUGUCUGAAAUAGAAGAGAGCUGCUGGUGAGGCAAUUCCUGAGUGUGAGCAGGGGUUGGGAUGGGCAGUUCCUGCUCCGGGCAGCAGGGCUGUGCAGAGACCUUGGAGAAGAAAAGCAGACAGGUGGGCUCUGCUGGACCCGCUGCCGUCCCAGCCGCUCUCCCCUGGAUUCAACAUCUCCUCGGAUCUGGUCGUGUAAUUCUGCCCCAGCCAAUACUCAGGUUCUACCUCAGGCAUUGCUGUGAGAUCACUGUGGCUUCUACUGCUCUCAGUCCAUCCCUAAAGGCAAACGAUGCACAAAAAGCAGGACCUGAAGGCUGACGUGGCUCC
ensembl:lncRNA